rnacentral:tRNA from 1 species
AGCUCCGUGGUGGUUAACACAUCGGAUUGCAAAUCCGGGGACGUAGAUUAAUACUCUGCCGGGGCUU